rnacentral:lncRNA from 1 species
AAUGUUUUGAGAAACAAGCCUUUGGAGUUGUCAUCAUUGACAUUGAGACACAAAAUUUAGACAAACAAUAGUAACACCUAAAUCAAAAUAAAAUAUACCAUAAAGAUACAUUCUAAUUACAUUAAGAAUUUUGAAGGCCAAUCAAGAGGUAUGCAAAUAUAAUAAGCUGGUUUUCCAGACUAGAACACAAUAGCUAUCAGCAUGUAACAUUAGGUAUAUGUUCACACAGCCAAUAAAUUCUGAGGAGCAUUCAACUUAAAAAAGCUGGCUUUAGAGACUAGAACACAAUAGCUGUCAAGAUGUUACACUGGGUAUAUGUUCACAUAGCCAACUAAGUUAAGAAAGCAUUCAACUUUAAGAGAUAAAACAACAAAAAAUUUCUCAUACAGAGUAACUCAAGUCUCAGACAUCCAAGGAAGGAUUAGCAGCACAAGCUCUCAAGCCUGGCGAAGGCGAAAGCUCUUAGGCGGCUACUGCGAAUGUUUUGAGAAACUAGCCUUUGGAUUUAGCAUCAUUGACCCUUUGCUAACAGUUUUAUAAGCUCGAUAAACAUCAAUGCAGGCACUUACAAGGAGUAUCAGUUACAUUUGGCCCCAACAUAAACAGGAAAAAAAAAAAGAAGAGUGUGUCAUUCUUAGACAAUUCAUGUCAGACAUGCAAACUGCAAAUGAUUUGAGAAACAAGCCUUCCGAGUUGGGAUCAGUGGGAACAGUUCAGGAUUAUAAGUAGCAUUUUAAAAGGCUAGUAGGGCCUACACUGUCUACAAGUUAGUCUUCUCUUGAGGCUCAAGGCUAACUUGAUUCAACCUUUUAUAAAAUAAAGACUUAAUCAACUUCCAAUUAAGCUUUUGAGUGGAAGGGAAAAAGAGUUUGAGAACAAAGAAUAGGAGAAUUAUUGAUUAUCUUAGUAUCUAAUAUAUAAUCAUUAUUUUAUUUUUAAGAGGCAAUAAAAAAUUUCAGUUAGUGAACAAAGAAAUAUCAAUAUCUAUGGAGGGGGAGGAAAAUAUAGCAAUUGCAUAUGAUUAUAUUUCUCAAAAGGAUCCCAUUUGUGAUAACACUAAUGUUUAAAAAUAUUUGAUGAUAUGAGAGAACGAGCUUAAUUUUAUAAGAGAGAAAAAGGAACUAAAUUAUAAGCUACAAACCAUGACAAAAAAUUAAUUUCAUUCCUCUAAUGUUUGUGUUCUUUAUUAUUCAAUUUUCUUGUGUGUGCACGUGUUUUUCUAAUCUUUUGAUAUUGACUUGUUUAAGUUGAGGCUUAAACACAUUGUUCUACCUCCAGGCUUAAAAAGCCUCAAGACCCUUUAGCUUCUUAAAAGCUUGGUUGUGACUAAGUGAUUAAUUCAGCAAAAAAUAAUACUAUAUGAUCACCUAGAAUAAACAAGAUAGUAACAAGGAUAAUAGUCAUAGACAUAACGAAUAAUUUAAUUGAAUUGAAAGUUCUAAAAAUUCCAUCCUAAACAAAACAGAUCAAGUUGACAAGGAUCAAAUACCAGCAUAAACAAUCUGCAAUUGGUAUAUGUGGGCGACACAAUGAGCACAAUUGAGAUCUCAGACAUCCAAGGAAGGAUUAGCAGCACAAACUCUCAAGCCUGGCAAGGGCGAAAGCUCUUAGGCGGCUACUGCGAAUGUUUUGAGAAACAAGCCUUUGGAGUUGUCAUCAUUGACAUUGAGACACAAAAUUUUAGACAAACAAUAGUAACACCUAAAUCAAAAUAAAAUAUACCAUAAAGAUACAUUCUAAUUACAUUAAGAAUUUUGAAGGCCAAUCAAGAGGUAUGCAAAUAUAAUAAGCUGGUUUUCCAGACUAGAACACAAUAGCUAUCAGCAUGAACAUUAGGUAUAUGUUCACACAGCCAAUAAAUUCUGAGGAGCAUUCAACUUAAAAAUGCUGGCUUUAGAGACUAGAACACAAUAGCUGUCAAGAUCUUACACUGGGUAUAUGUUUUACAUGGCCAACUAAGUUAAGAAAGCAUUCAACUUCAAGAGAUAAACAACAAAAAAUUUCUCAUACAGAGUAAUUUAAGUCUCAGACAUCCAAGGAAGGAUUAGCAGCACAAGCUCUCAAGCCUGGCGAAGGCGAAAGCUCUUAGGCGGCUACUGCGAAUGUUUUGAGAAACAAGCCUUCGGAUUUGGCAUCAUCGACCCUUAUCUAACAGUUUCAUAAACUCGACAAACAUCACUGCAGGAAUUUACAGCCACUAUAAACACACACCAGAGUACACAGAGUACACUCAUACAUCAGCGUGUUAAAACGAUAAUUGGGCUAAUUGGGCUCAAAGUAUCACUGUGUUUGAGGAUGUUCCAUCCGCAAAUGAUCAGCAAAAUACAAAAUAGAUUGCUGACAAAGUGAAAUAGAUGGAUAAGAUUACAUAUCAGGGACUUGUUCAUCCCUGAAGCACUCUAAACUGAGCUAAAGGGGUAGACGUGAAAGUCCCAACUAGUCCCACAGCUGUUUUGAUGUCCCCCAAUAACAGUUAAUAACAAAUUUGAUGUGAAGGGCAAUCACUUUACUAAAACGGCUAAUGGAAAGCCGGUAUGAACACCAUCAACUUCAAGAUUAUCAUCAAAGGAUCACCCAAAACAAAUCAUAUACACACGAACAUCAAUCAAAUAGAGGCAAACUUGCAAAAGAAGAUCCAUAAAUGGAAAAAGAGAACCGAUAUUUGAGAUUGUAUGCAACGACAACUUAUAAAACUAGCAUUACAGUUUUGAAAUCUCAUGGAAAGAUUUAAAUCAAUUUCAAAAGAAAAUUGCCAAUGAAAAAGAAAAUUCAGUCUCAGACAUCCAAGGAAGGAUUGAAGCAGCAGUAGCUCUCAAGCCCGGCGAAGGCGAAAGCUCUUAGGCGGCCACUGCGAAUGUUUUGAGAAACAGGCCUUAGAGUUAUCCUCAUCGACGUUUCAACAAAAAUAAUAAAAAAGUAAAAACAACAUAAAUCGAUCAAAACCAAACCAUAAACCCAUCAAAAUCGAUUGCACUAUAAAUAAAAAAAUAAAGACCCGAAGACAAGAAAUCAGUUUUUUAAUUCAAAAAAAAAAGAACAAAAUAGGAAUAGCAAUUAUCAUAUAAUGCAUCAAAACAGAUGAACGACGACAGCACUGUGGAGAUCAAAAUCUGAAUCACACCGAUU